rnacentral:rRNA from 1 species
GAUGAACGCUGGCGGCGUGCCUAAUACAUGCAAGUAGAACGCUGAAGGAAGGAGCUUGCUCUUUCCGGAUGAGUUGCGAACGGGUGAGUAACGCGUAGGUAACCUGCCUGGUAGCGGGGGAUAACUAUUGGAAACGAUAGCUAAUACCGCAUAACAGUAGAUGUUGCAUGAUAUCUACUUAAAAGGUGCAAUUGCACCACUACCAGAUGGACCUGCGUUGUAUUAGCUAGUUGGUGAGGUAACGGCUCACCAAGGCGACGAUACAUAGCCGACCUGAGAGGGUGAUCGGCCACACUGGGACUGAGACACGGCCCAGACGCCUACGGGAGGCAGCAGUAGGGAAUCUUCGGCAAUGGACGGAAGUCUGACCGAGCAACGCCGCGUGAGGGAAGAAGGUUGUCGGAUCGUAAAGCUCUGUUGUAAGAGAAGAACGAGUGUGAGAGUGGAAAGUUCACACUGUGACGGUAUCUUACCAGAAAGGGACGGCUAACUACGUG